GGCUCAGAUGAAACGCUGGCGGAAUGCUUUACACAUGCAAGUCGAACGGCAGCACGGGGGCAACCCUGGUGGCGAGUGGCGAACGGGUGAGUAAUACAUCGGAACGUGCCCAGUCGUGGGGGAUAACGUAGCGAAAGCUACGCUAAUACCGCAUACGAUCUACGGAUGAAAGCGGGGGAUCGCAAGACCUCGCGCGAUUGGAGCGGCCGAUGGCAGAUUAGGUAGUUGGUGGGGUAAAGGCUCACCAAGCCGACGAUCUGUAGCUGGUCUGAGAGGACGACCAGCCACACUGGGACUGAGACACGGCCCAGACUCCUACGGGAGGCAGCAGUGGGGAAUUUUGGACAAUGGGCGAAAGCCUGAUCCAGCCAUUCCGCGUGCAGGAUGAAGGCCCUCGGGUUGUAAACUGCUUUUGUACGGAACGAAACGCGCUGUGCUAACACCACGGCGUAAUGACGGUACCGUAAGAAUAAGCACCGGCUAACUACGUGCCAGCAGCCGCGGUAAUACGUAGGGUGCAAGCGUUAAUCGGAAUUACUGGGCGUAAAGCGUGCGCAGGCGGUUAUGUAAGACAGGUGUGAAAUCCCCGGGCUUAACCUGGGAACUGCAUUUGUGACUGCAUAGCUAGAGUACGGUAGAGGGGGAUGGAAUUCCGCGUGUAGCAGUGAAAUGCGUAGAUAUGCGGAGGAACACCGAUGGCGAAGGCAAUCCCCUGGACCUGUACUGACGCUCAUGCACGAAAGCGUGGGGAGCAAACAGGAUUAGAUACCCUGGUAGUCCACGCCCUAAACGAUGUCAACUGGUUGUUGGGUCUUCACUGACUCAGUAACGAAGCUAACGCGUGAAGUUGACCGCCUGGGGAGUACGGCCGCAAGGGUGAAACUC
rnacentral:rRNA from 1 species